AUCCUUUCCUAGCUCAUCAGUGGGGCAAUCGGGUAUCCACGCUCUUGCGUGGUGUGUGCCUCUGUCACACCUUGUUGCAACAUUGGCACGUUACCCUCCUGACA